rnacentral:lncRNA from 10 species
GGCAGGACUGGGAUCAUGUGACUGUCCUCUAGCUGCAAAGCUGGCUGGGAAAACGAGUGACAUUUUCAGCUUCUAUCAUGAGAGGCGACCUCUGACUGUUACCCCUCAGAGUCUUGGAUCCUACAUCUGUAAAAUGGGAGUGAUGAGACGUUCCUCGUGGCACAGAGCUGAAGAGCAGGUCCCAAGUCCUUCUUCUGUGCUAAGGACUGCAACAUGUGUGGGAUGCAGAGAUGCAUUUAAUAAACAUUUAUUGAGCAUGUACUAUGUGCUGGGCACUGUUUAAAGCUGUGGGAAUAUAUUCAUGAAUUAAAAACCGGGCCAAAAUACCCAUCCACUCUAGUAUAAAGAAAAUAGAGUUGCUGUCCUCGAGGAGUUUAGAAACAGAGAUGGGUAAACGAAUCAUAGCAUAAGGUGUCACAGGUGCAAGGAGCAGAGAAGGAAAAAGGCAACAGGCAUGGGGAUAGGUGGGCGGGGUUUCAAGAGAAGCGUCAUAAAGGAGGUCACAUCUAAGCUGAAGUGAGGGGCUGUCAAAUCCUCACCUGCACUAUACACAGAGAUGCUUGGGAAAGAUGCUGGGCUUUGGCUAAUAGUGGAAUUCUCAACUCAUAAAAGGGAAGUUUCAAAGUUGGGGACUUGUGCUGCCAUAACAGAUGAAUUUCUGUGUUAACUUGAGGAGAUAAUAAAAAUUUUAAUUAAACAUCUGCUGGGUUACAAAAGGCAGCCUCAUGAAAAAG